rnacentral:rRNA from 1 species
AUACGGAGGGUGCAAGCGUUGUUCGGAAUUACUGGGCGUAAAGCGCGCGUAGGUGGUCUGUUAUGUCAGAUGUGAAAGUCCACGGCUCAACCGUGGAAGUGCAUUUGAAACUGGCAGACUUGAGUACUGGAGGGGGUAGUGGAAUUCCCGGUGUAGAGGUGAAAUUCGUAGAUAUCGGGAGGAAUACCGGUGGCGAAGGCGACUACCUGGCCAGAUACUGACGCUGAGGUGCGAAAGCGUGGGGAGCAAACAGGAUUAGAAACCCGAGUAGUCC